CGCUAUUGUUUUGUUUGGUUUUAUUUUGCUCCAGCAGACUUGAUCCUUCUUUUUCGUUUUAGGGUUUGGGGGAUGGGGAAAUGAACUGUCCCUUGACUGAGGAGGUGGAGUGGAGGCCUUUGUUUUAAGACCGCAGUUCUGAUUACACCUGACAGGGCUGAAACUUGAUUCCCACAGAGACUACUCACACCUUAUCUUCUUCAUUCGUGAUGAUUACAGCAGGAAUGCGGCACAAGGUGUCACUUUGAUUCAGUCUGUAUACUGCCGAGUGUGAUAAUAAAAAGAAAAGUUCAUUUUUUUGGUCCCAAGAUUAGCUCCAGGGAGAGUUCUCUCCCUUCCAUCAGUUUUUUUUUUUUUUUUUAAACUGGUCAUCGAGGCUAAAUCUUAAUGUUCCUGGCUGAGAGUCUCAUAGUUUGAGAAUAAUCAUGUUUAAUAAAAAGUCUGCCUAAGAAAAGGACUCCCAUAACCUGAGCCAUGGCAGUGAUUUUGUGGUAUUUGGAUUCAUGUCCGUAAAAAUAUUUGGACACCAGAUGGUGGAUUGUUAGGAGCAUUCAUCCCAAACCAGAAGUUUUAAAAAAUUCACACACACACACACACACAGACACACAGCACGGUGGGAGGGAAAAAUCAUCAUUAGUUUUUUUUCCAGUCAUGCUGCAUGAGUAAUGGUAAAAGCAAGAGCUAAAACAAUAAGAUUACCGUGUUGAACUCUUAAUGCGUUGUCAGGAAUACAGACUUCAAGUAGUGCUGAAAAUAUGUUCUUCCUCUGAAUAAUGCAUACUUUAAGUGCAACUCACUUUGACAGCUUACCAAUUGUACAUAUUUUCUAAAAAACAAAAUCAUCCUGCUGGUAGAGGAAGCUAUUGGCGGUGACCUAUCUCCUAUACAGGACCAGAUUGAGAGGAAGCCAAAUUAAACACUAAACCAACAGCCAAGGGCCCCGCUCAUUAAUCCAAAAUGACAUUUUCUCUGCAGGUUGAUUUUGUUUUUAAUAGUCUCAACUAUCUACACUAAUGGGUGGGGACACAUAGGAUAAAUAAACCAAAACAGGAUAACAGAAAAUGGAAUUGAUAUUUAACUGUGGAAUGUAUGUUUGUGGGAGGGUUGUUAUUUAUGUCACAUGGUGGUCAUGCUCCAUGGAGCUUUGGCUGUCCCUUUGUUGUGCUAGAGCAAACGUGAACUGUGAACUGUUCUCUGAAGGAAAAAUCUGGCCCUGGCCCAUGGGUCCACCUUAGUUUGUGUCUUUACAGAGAUAGGUCUAUGCAGAUACCCGGCCUGGUUCUUCACCUGUGGAUGCCAAGCUCCUAGGUGUGCACCUGCAUCUAAUCAGAAACACAGAGUUUCGACACACGUUAGGUCCCCUGCCACACAAUUUAUCCUUGACUUCUCUGCUGUCUGAUUGAAGAAGAGAACAUCUCUGGAAGGAUAUAUUCUGUCAUUUCUUUCAGCUAUUUUAAACUUAAUCCCUGGAUCAAGGCAGAUAGUUAAAGAACUUCGUGUUUGAACUGUAUCAUUUUGUUCCCUCAGAGAACUGCGUUCUUGAGGACUUCACUUUGCUGUGAGGCCCUAACUUAAGUCCCCUUGGGUGAUCCUGUGAGAAACAACUAUGGGGAACUGAGUUGCUUUACAUAUUAUUCAUGACAUCAGUAUCCUUUCCGAAGAUGCACCGGAGAAACUUCUUUCAGGUCUCCAGUAUCCUGAGCCCCUGGUAGGUAUCUUACAAAACAGGGAAAGUUUGGGGCACCUGGGUGGCUCAGUCGGUUAAGCGGCCAACUUUGGCUCAGGUCAUGAUCUCACACUCCGUGAGUUCGAGCCCCACGUUGGGCUCUGUGCUGACAGCUCAGAGCCUGGGGCCUGUUUCAGAUUCUGUGCCUCCUUCUCUCUCUGACCCUCCCCUGUUCAUGCUCUGUCUCUGUCUCAAAAAUCAAUCAACAUUAAGAAAAAUGUUUUUAAAUAAAAAAAAAGAAAAAAUAAAAAAAAACAGGGUGAGUUUUAUGACUGAUAUGGUUUCUUUGUUGCUCAGAGCCAAAUCUGUGGUCCCUCUGUAGUAACUGCUUGAAUCCCUAUGAUUGGAAUUGCUCUGCAGUGGCAUUAUUUCUUGUUUCACUUUACUGUCUUUUUCUCUUCUUCUUUUGUUUCAAUUUUAUUGCAUGAUUUUUUAAAAGUUUAUUUAUUAUUUUGAGAGAGAGAGAGAGAGAGCAUAAGCGAGUGGCAAAGGGGCAGAAAGAGAGGGAGAUCGAGAAUCUAAAGCAGGUUCCACACUGCAGGGCUCACACUCAUGAACCAUGAGAUCAUGACCUGAGCCUAAAUCAAGAGUUGAAUGUUUAAAUGACUGAGCCACCCAGGCACCUCUUAUUGCAUGAUUUUUAUAAGUCACGUAAGGUACAUUUUGAAAUAAGUCAGGGUAGUUAAAUGGAUACAUUUAUCAUUCUUAUGGCAUUUUCUGAGCAAACAUCAACAAGAAAAUAGCCCCUGGAGAUACCCCCAAAAGUAUGAAUGAUAAUGGGGGAAAGUUUUUAAAUAUUUUAUUACCCCAGGUAAUUGAGAAUUUGAGAUACAGCAGCUAUUUUUAAUUAAUUUGACUGAAACACAGAGGAAAUUGAAGCACACGUUGAUUUCAGACUGGAGGAAGAAGAAGCAAAAACUCUCUGCUGGGUAGGACACCACUACUGAGCAAACCAGGACUCACAGGAAAGGAGGAAGGUACCAUCUGACCCUUUACUAGGUGGGAAAUGGUCCUGAAAGGGCCCAUCUGGGCCAAGGGCUGAAACCAAGGACAACCUCAUCUGGAGGGAAGGGUUACUCUGCUGAAAGAAUGAAGCAGGCAGGGAAAUCAUUCUCCAAACCCAAUUCAAUGCUUCAUAUUUCUUUUAAAAUCUCAUUUGUUUGUUUGUCUAUUAUUAUGCUUAAAUUUGAGCAAAUCAUAACCCGAGCCCUAUUAUCCAUCCUUGAUAAUGACAUUUAUUUAUGAAGGUAAAGUCCAUCAACUACAUGCAACAAUGCGCCUGUCACUGAGGAUAAAUGAACAAGUCAGAAGUCCUGUUCUUAACGAGCUCACCCCUUUUUAGCCCUUUUUGUUUGUUCAUUUAUUCAAACACCUAUUUAUUAUUUCAUAUUUAUUUGUUUUAUCCAAUAUCUCAUUUAGUUAUUGAGUAUCUGAAGGGAGGGCUAUAAGAAUAAUUGCGGGAGGGCACCUAAGCUAUAAUGCAUUGGGGAACAAAGGAAGUCCACCUGAGGAGGUGGUCUUUAGACUGAGACCUGAAAGCAAGGAGCUGGGCCAGGGGCCAGGGAUGGGAAGGGUGAAUGCUGAGUGGAUGGAACAGUGUCGGCAAAGUCCUGAGGUGGAAAUGAGAUGCCCGAGUUGGCUGGAGAACAGUGAGGGAGGGCCAGUGUGCAUGUGAUGAAGUGACAAGGUACCUGUGAGGUCGUGCUGUAGGAAAGCAUUAUUUCUUCUCUCAGAUGCCCUCGUGGCCAACAUCUUUCAGCUCCUUUAAGUCUUUGCUCAGCCACUCUUUCAAUUUGUCCUAACAUGACCAUCUCAUCUAAGUUGUAAUAGCCUCCUCACUCCGAUUAGUUUCCUUUGCAUAUAUCACCUUCUAACGGUAUAAUACAGUAUUUAUUUAUUACGUUUCUUGUUUGUCUCCCCCCUACCCUUUUCCAUUAGCUUCAGGAAGGCACAGAUUUUUAUCUGUUCUGUUGACUGGCACAACCCCCAAAUCUAGAACAGGGCCUGACAUGUGGCAGGCACUCAAUCAAUAGCUGUUGAAUGGAAUUAAGUUGAAAGGCAAUGAGCAUUUUAAGCAAGGAUGCAACCUGAUCUUAUUUAUAUUUUUGGAAGAUAACUCCGGAAGCUGAGUGGGAAAAAAAUACGUUUUAAAUCCAAAAGACACUUCUCUACAUGGUUCUCCAUCAACUCCAGAAUCUAAAACCAAGCCUUGGCCAGGAAGAUGUUAAGCUUCUUUCUUUUUUAAAUCACCCAGGUAGAUAAAGAAAUAACAUGGGUAUUAUGGAGGCUUUACGCACAUGGGGAGGAGCCACAGAAGGAAAGCCAACCACCCUAUCAAGUCAGGUCAGAUCAGAAGCACCCACUGCAUGCAUGCCUACCAACAAAGCCCCAAAUAACUGGGAUCAAUGAAACAACAGGUUAUGUUUGCGCUGAUUCUCUUUGCUGUGGCUUGCUACCGCUUCGAGGAAGAAGCUAUUUGCUUUUCAUGUCAGAGUUAAAAAAAUUUUUUUUCAGAUUUCACUCAAAAGCAAAACAAUUUGUACUGGUUAACUCUUUUUAAAGAAGUGUAUUGAAAGAAAUUGCCUCAGGAUAGGGUGCUCAUACUCCAUUAAGAGGAGAUUUAUUGGUUACACAGACUUGGAAAGCCUAAUCUAGGCUGAUUCGUGCACUCAACAAAUAUUUAUCAAACAUUCUAUAUAUGCAUGUCCUUUCUGGGGAGUUAAAGAGAUGAUUCUUAUACGGGUUCCUUAUAAAGCUUACCUUCUAGUUGAGGAAAUGACACACAUGCACAAGAAGUUAAAUUAGAAGAGACCAAUGCAAACUGUGCCCUGAGGCAGCUUGUAAGUAUUAAACAGGUGGUAAGACCAGGUGCUGUACAAUCACUCCCGAGUGCUAGGCUGUGUAGUUUUCACUCCCUUAGACAGUCACAUAAUAAAAAAAUAUAUAAGUGAAUAUAAAUGAGUUUUUCUGAAGCUAAGGGUACAACAUUGAAAGAACUGACCAUUAUUCUGAGACUGUGCCUUUUGGUCUUUUUGAGUGGUAAAAUAUCUUUUCUUUCAUAAGAUCAUUGUGAUGGUGGUCUUUUUAAAAAAGUCUUUAUUUUGGCAGAAUAAAAAAAGUUGACAACCCUAUAUUGGACUUUAUUAUGUUGAAGUCAUACACUGAUUCAUAAAUGCCCCAAACUAGAAACUGCUGCUAUUAGAGCAAACAGGAUGGACAGGAGGGGUUCAUUGACCAAAUGGAAUAACCUGGGUAGGAUUUUGAUGGUCAGAGUGGACACAGAUGGACAUUAUAUAUUGAGUCUCAGCACAUUUUUGGUGAGGUGAAUUUAACCAUGCUUUGUGUGGAGGUUAUAUGAACAAAGCCACAAGAUAACAAUGCAGAUGACCAGCUUGGAGCUGUCCUCUGUAGGGAGUGCAUAUAGGUGAUUACUGGGAAAUUAGUUUUUAGAGUAAAAUUAGGGCAGAUUAUGGAGAGGCUUGAAUGUCCAAAUAAGGAGAUAGACUUUAGAGAAAUGGCAGCAUGUUAAUGGGUAGUUUUAAAGCAGAAAAGUAACAUGAAGGAGUAUUGUUUUUUUAUUUUUAUUUUUUUAAUGUAAUUUAUUGUCAAGUUAGCCAACAUACAUUGUAUAUAGUAUGCUCUUGGUUUCGGGGGGUAGAUUCCCGUGAUUCAUCGCUUACAUACAAUACCCAGUGCUCAUUCCAACAAGUGCCCUCCUUGAAGGAGUAUUAUUUUUAAAAGAUUAACAAAGUCAUCAAAGCACAAAGGAAGAGAAUAAAACAAGAAAAAAAGGAACAGAGGGGAACUACAAAACAGCCCAAAUAGCAAUAAAUACAUGCCUACCAAUAGUUAUUUUAAAUGUAAAUGGACGGAAUUCUCCAAUCUAAGGACAUAGAGUGGUUGAAUGGAUUAAAAAAGAAAAAAAAAAAAAAAGAAAAGAAAACCAAGACCCAUCUAUAUGUUGUCUCAUCUAUAUGCUGGCUCACUUCAGAUGUAAGGACACACAUAGACUAAAAGUGAAGGGAUGGGAAAAGAUAAUCCAUGCAAAUGGAAACCAAAAGAAAGCUGGGGUAGUUGUGCUCAUAUCAGACACAAUAGACUUGAAAACAAAGAGUGUAAUAAGUGACAAAAAUAGGCAUUAUAUAAUGAUAAGGGGGUCAACCCAACAAGAGGAUAUAACAUUUGUAAAUAUUUAUGCAGUCAACAAAGGAACACCUAAAUAUAUAAAGUAAAUAUUAACGGACCUAAGAAGAGAAACAGACAGCAAUACAAUAAUGGUAGAAGAUUUUAGUACCCAACUUACAUCAACGGAUAGAUCAUCUGGAUAGAAAAUCAAUAAGGAAACAUCAGCUUUAAGCAACAUAUUAGACCAGAUGGGCUUAACAGAUAUAUAGAGAAUAUUCUAUUCAAAAAUAACAGAACACACGUUCUUUUCAAGUAUGCAUGGAACAUUUCCAAAAUAGAUCACAUAUUGGGUCACAAAGCAAGUCUUAGUAAAAUUAAUAGGAUUGAAAUCACAUUAAGAAUCUUUUCUGAUCACAAUGGUAUUAAACUAGAAAUUAAUUACAUGAAGAAAACUGGAAAAUUCACAAAUAUGUGAAUCAAGCAACAUGUUACUGUAGUACCAAUGGAUCAAAGAAUAGAGUAAAAGUGAAGUUAACAAAUACACUGAGACAAAUGAACAUGGAAAUGUAACAUACCAAAAUGUAUGGGAUGCAGCAAAAGGUGUUCUAAGAGAGCUUAAAAUUCCAAUGACGCUUUUCAAAAAAAUAGAACAAAUAAUUAUAACAUUUGUAUGGAACUACAAAGACAUCAAAAUAGCCAAAGAAAUCUUGAGAAAAAAGAACAAAGCUGGAGACAUCAUUGUUCCCUCAUUUCAAACUAUAUCGCAAAGCUGUAAUAAUUAAAACACUAUGGUGUUGGCAUAAAAACAGACACAGACCAAUAGAACAAAAUAGAGAACCCAGAAAAUAAAUCCACGUGUAUACGGUUAAUUAACUUAUGACAAAGGAGCCAAGAAUUGACAAUGAGGAAAGGACAGUAAGAUAUGGGGUCAACUGUGAGGAAAAUUUAAGUUUGAUUACUGGCUCCUGGGCACUUGAUUGCUUUAUUUAAUUGGCAUGUGAGCAAAGGAAAGUGAUAAUUGAAGUAUGUGUUCUAAAGGAACACAAACAUAAUGGUCACUUGUACACUGAUGUUUACAGCAGCAUUAGUCAUAAUAACUAAAUCAUGGAAGCAACCCAAAAGUCCACCGCUGGAUGAACAGAUAAGCCAAGUGUAGUAUACACAUACAAUGGAAUAUUAUUCGGCCUUAAAAAGGAAGGAAAUUCUGACCUAUGCUACAAUAUGGAUGAACCUUGAGGACACGAUGGUAACUGAAAUAAGCCAGACACAAAAGGAGAAAUACUGUAUGACUCUACCUGUAUGAAGUACUCUGUAAGUGGGUAUUUACAAAUCUAAAAUACAAACCAUCUUAGAGUAUUUGACUACUCUGAGAAGUCAAAAUCAUAGAGAUAGAAAAUAAAAUGGCAGUUUCCAAGGGCUCUGGGGAGGGGGAAAUGGAGAGUUGGUGUUUAAUGGGUAUAGAGUUUCAGUUUUGCAAGAUAAAACUAAUUCUGGGAAUGGAUGCUGGUGAUGGUUGCACAACAAUAUGGGUAUAUUCGAUGCCCUGAACCGUACACUUAAAAAUGCUCAAGACAGCAAAUGUUACAUUAUGCAUAUUUUACCACAAUUUUUUUUAAAGAAGGAAAAGAUAAAAAUGAUGACCACAAAUAGCUCAUCGGGUUUAUUGGUACAGUGUUUCUGUUAACGAGGUCUGCAAAGUGCUUUGCAACCAUUUAUUAGCUUUGGGAUGUUUUGUCAAAUCAAAGUACAUUCUUUAGAUAAGGAGUUUGGUUUGCUUUGAUAUUUAAUGACCUUCCCUUUACCUAAGGCACAGCAUUUCCAGAUGUGCAACACCACCAACACCGAGCCCGGCACAUAAUGAGGAAACUGGGUAACUUGACCACAGUUACUCCACAAGGCAGUGAUCCACAAGGAUUUGUCCCCUGGCAUGUGGGGCUAGCAUGACAAUUCCACCGAGGAGGGGAGGCCAAGCCUGACUCCAGUCAAUGUUAAAUUAGGACUUCUACUCUGGAGGUGCUAUUUCUAGUCUGAAAGCUCCAUAAGUCAGAGGGCAGAAAGGAAUCCUUCCUGUAAACAUCCUCUGGGCCACUCCCGGAAAAGUCAAAUGGAACUACCUGCACUUCCAGCGCUGGUCCCUUUGCUCAGAGAGGAUGCUCAAAAUAUUUAAAGAAUGGGAACUGGCCAAUCAGGACAAACCUGAUAACCACUCAGAACUACUGCAAGAGGGCUUUCUGCUGAAUAUCAUCUCUGCACUGUUUCCAGCACCUUGACCUUGAUUCUCCUCCUGGAGAACGUCUGCAGAUCUUCUACAUGGUUCACAGAGGACUAGCAUUUGAGCAGGGGCUGGAGAAUCUCAAACUCGUGAAGUGUCCAAGGUCUGACUGGAAUAGAACUUUUGGACUCUGACCUUUAUCCUCUACCUCCACUCAGUAACCUACGAAUUCUCCUCUCAGAGAUUUUAAUCUAGUCCCUCCAGCAGGAGCAAAGCUCCUUUACCCACUUGAAGCUAAGAAAGAGGUCACAUGCAGCCAACAUGGCAGACUGACAUCGAACCCAGCGUAGCUGCCCAGUCCUGCCAGAUAAACAUAAGGAAAGGUCAUCCAAACACAGGAAGACAGCCGGCCCCUUGCCUUUUCCUUUACCCCCUCCCCUUCCUCCCUCUGGCUCCCUUAUCCCCAGAGGGUGGACCCAGCCUUUCCCAAAGUUUAUUCUCAGAGUUCCAGGCUCCCACAGUGGAACGUGCUGCGGACAUGGGAAUACAACAGCCUGGCCAACAGGGAAAACCAAAAAUAUAAACGGAGAGAUUUAAGAGAUUCCUCUCCCCACUCCCAAAGUUGUAGCCGAAAUAUCUGCUUUUAUUGUUAUUGCUGCUUUUACUAUCCUUGAUAUAAGUCAGCCCAUUCUGGAAGGAGGCCUUCUCAAGUUUAUUGCAUUUGUCCGUAAACACUUUGCACAGAAAAAAAUUGAGCUCUUUCUUAGGACCUCAGUCCACUGACUGGAUCCACUAAACAAAUACAAUAAAAUGUUAGGAAACAAAGUCCCAAAAGUCUUGCAUCUCAAACACUGGCAGUGAGAUUAACAGGAAUACAAAUAACACUAAAA